ACAAGAUAAACUUUUCUAGUUUACAACUUUCAAUAUUUAUAGCUAUCCUCAUUUGAUAAUCUAAAAUGAAGUAAUUUUAUUUAAAAGUUUCCAAAUUAAUUAAAACAUGUAAUUGAUUAUUAUUAUUAUUAUUAUUGUUGUUGUUGUUGUUGAGAAAACAUGUAAUUGAUAAUGCAAGAGGCUAGAUUUUCUCCAUAUUGUUAGGACAGUUAGGUAAAUAUAAGCUUUUUUGGAAAAUAAAAUAAUAAUAAUUAAGUUCACGAUAUAUUAAUCUAAAAAGAAGUUAUUGAGUUCAUGUAAACGAAAUUCUAGAUCCACCAUGAAUUGUAUAAAGAGGCUAUGUUUUCUUAUAACUACUUGAUUUUCUUGUACAUAAGCUAUGUUCAUUGUAUGAACAAUGAGAUCUUAAAAACAGGAAGAGAAUCAUAUCAAGAGACUUAUAAGGAAGCAAAAUCUUUUAAAUUAAUUACUACUGUAAUAUUUUUGUAUAACAGUAGCAUUAGUACUAGCCUCAUCGUUGUUAUAUUAUAUUGUUGUUACAUAAUUAGCCAUGUCAUGAAUUCUUUAUUAUAUGUUUUGUUGUUACUUGAGCCGAGGUUUUUUCGAAAAUAAUAUGUGAAAAGGUCUACGACUACGUACACUUUAUCCUCUCAGGAUUACAUUUGUGAAAUUACACUUGAAUAUGUCAUUGUUUAUAACUAAUGUUUGAAUUGUCUCUUUUUUCUACCAUAUCCAAAAGUUCGUUCAACUAUAUUUGAAGUUUCAAUUUUUCCUCAUAAUAUCCAAGAUUAUAGAAUUGGAGAUCAUUUGACAAUCAUGAUCAAGAAAUUACUAAUUAGGACCUCAUGGUUAUUAUCUCGCCUCCCCUUAUGGAAAAUGACAAUUGCAAUAGUGUAACCAGUGGCGGCGCCAGGAUUUUCAUUGAGGGGUUCAGAAGUAAACAUACGGACUAAUCGAAGGGGGUUUAACAUCUACUAUAUAUAUAUAAAAAUAAUUUUGACCGUAUAAAAAUCAUUGGGCUCAUCUACUAUUUUUAGACAGUUAAUGAAUAAAAUUUACUGCAUUUAAUGGUGUAACUUAAUAGUCAAUCAAGUUGAGGUCCAAAUUGUAACUAUUAAUUUUUUUCUUGAUAAAUAGAGUUACUUGACAUAUAUGUUUUCGAAAGAUAGCAUUACCUCAAUAAGCUCAUCUAUGUGAGCAAAAAUGACAAAUUAAGUCUA
rnacentral:lncRNA from 1 species